GGCCAGGUAGCUCAGUUGGUACGAGCGUCCGCCUGAAAAGCGGAAGGUCGCCGGUUCGAUCCCGGCCCUGGCCACAA
rnacentral:tRNA from 14 species